CUUCCCCAUUUUUGAGAGAACGUUGUUUCUACCAUUCCAAAAGGGACGCUCCUCUCAAAACAAAAGCCUGAUUCUCCCAUCCUCAAAUAGAGACUAAGAAUCAUACCCCUUCCCUCUCCCACAUGAGAGAAUUGGCGAUUCCCCCUUUUAGAACAAUGAGCAGCCCCAUCUCUCGCUCUCACUCUCACCUCCAUCGCACAUGAAAUAGUUGAGAACUAACCUUGAAUUUCACAAAAUUAGAUUCGAAGAAAAGAAACAAAGAAAACAAAAAAGAAAGAGAGAGUGAGACUAUGAGUUCAUGCAAUUUUCGAGCUGUUUGUUCAUGGUUCUGGGUUUUCUAAAGCUAAGUCGUGUCAAAACAUUGCCGAAUUUCUGAUGUGGACUGCUGAAACUUCUACUGGGCUCCAAUUUGAAGCAUUUCGCUCUUAUUUGGCUUUCGGCAUAUUAUCGCACAUUUCAUGAGUCAAAUAUCCUUUUGGUGCUUUCUCAUUUUGGAAUUCCAGACAAUUGUUGAGUCUUAACUUUGAAAGUGGAUUGUCAAUAUCUUUAUUCCCGUUUUGAUGAAUCGCAAUUUCAAUUUUCAAGUGCCAUGAAAUGGCUAAAAAUGUUACGCUUGUGAUAAGAUACUUUUUUUAUAUUUAUUAUUCAUCAAUGAUUUUGUUUUA